rnacentral:sRNA from 1 species
GCUGGGCGUGGUGGCACACACCUGCAAUCCCAGCAGCUCGGGAGGCUGAGACAGGAGGAUCAUGAAUUCAAAGCCAGCCUCAGCAAUGGCGACGCACUAAGCAACUAAGUGAGACCCUGUCUCUA